rnacentral:rRNA from 1 species
AUUGAACGCUGGCGGCAGGCCUAACACAUGCAAGUCGAGCGGAUGAAGGGAGCUUGCUCCUGGCUUCAGCGGCGGACGGGUGAGUAAUGCCUAGGAAUCUGCCUGGUAGAUGGGGAUAACGUCCGGUAACGGGCGCUAAUACCGCAUACGUCCUGAGGGUGAAAGUGGGGGAUCUUCGGACAACACGCUUUCAGAUGACCCUAGGUCGGAUUAGCUAGUUGGUGAGGUAAAGGCCUACCAAGGCGACGAUCCGUAACUGGUCUGAGAGGAUGAUCAGUCACACUGGAACUGAGACACGGUCCAGACUCCUACGGGAGGCAGCAGUGGGGAAUAUUGGACAAUGGGCGAAAGCCUGAUCCAGCCAUGCCGCGUGUGUGAAGAAGGUCUUCGGAUUGUAAAGCACUUUAAGUUGGGAGGAAGGGAAGUAAGUUAAUACCUGGCUGUUUUGACGUUACCAACAGAAUAAGCACCGGCUAACUUCGUG